rnacentral:misc_RNA from 1 species
UUUCUGUUAGCCAUCCCAUCCUAGAGGAACUUCUGUGUUAAUAACGUUUUAAACAAGAUACUGUAAUAGGGGGAAUUUUGAGUUCUCAGCCUAACAAUUUAGUAUCUUAGAUUGCAUCAGUUAUAAGCCAAUAAGAACUAGAAAUUUUUCUUGGAAAAAUGCAUCAGUUCAUUUUCACCAUAAUGCAAAAACAAAUUUGGUCAUUUCCUUGGCUCAGCUCAAUCCAAAGCCAUACCAAUUCUUCUUCACAAUGUUUGAUACUUUCUCACAGUUUGCCCUUAUGUAUUAAAGUUCAAGAAAAAGAUACAUAUCAAUGCAGCAUUAACUUCUACGUGCAGCAUCCACCACAAAAAGGAUUCAGUCAUAAAGGCAUAGAUUUGCCUGCAGCAAGAAUACCACAAUGAGUUCUUUAUAUAUAUAUUUGCUUUGCAUUUGAAUAAUAAAAUAGUCACUUGAAAUAGCAAGUACAAAUUUGCAAUAAAAGAUGUCAAGAAAUACACUCUAUGGGCAAUGUAUUGUUUAUCCAACUUAGUGCCACAGAUAGGUUGACGAAACUGCAAGAUGCAAAAUUCACCAGUAGCUUGUUGAAAAAUUUUCACCAUACAGUGCAUGAUGAAUGAUGGUACUACUUAAUUUUAACAUGCCAACUCUGAUCAAUUCUAUUUUCUUUUCUAGUCAAAACACACAUUAACUGGGGGUUGCAGUUACUCUUCAUUUUUUUAGGAAGUCUUCAAGCACCUUAAGUAUCCUAAAUGGCACCCAGGUACUAGGUCGUGCAUGUAAUGAAUCACUGAAUGAGACCCACUUCGCAUAGGUUCUAAAUCCUACCUGGUUAUGUCUGUUUGUUGUUAAAGGGCAUCACAGCUACUGAUGCAAUACUUAUGAAAGCACAUAAAAUAAAAUAUAACCAAAAAUACCAAACACUAGCAAGGACAAAAGGAUACACGUUUGUUGCCAUUUCUUUAGAAAAUACCAAACACUAGGCAAAAAUUUUGGAGGCAAUGAUCUUUAGCUACUUUUAUAUUUAUUUUUUUUUAUCACAGAAGUUAACUCCCUUUGCAGAAUUGCAGUUUAAACUCCAGCUCAAAGAACAUUUCAUGUUCUGCAAAUAUUGGUUAUGUAGGCUCCAUCAAAUUUCCAGGGAAAACAGUUGAACCAAGGAAGAGAAAUAGUUUAUCUCCAACAGUGCUUCAAAUAAUAGAUAAUAUUUCACUUCCCUGAAAAUCACAGGGAAUGUGGAGAACCAGAAACACAAGCAGGCCAAUCAAGAGUUCAAAGUUGAGGGACCCAAAUUUGGACAAAUUGUAAACAAGAAAAGUCUGGAAAAAUAUGCCAAACAUAGAAAAAGUCCAAUCAGGACAAUUGGGAACUAGAGUAAUUUUAUGCACUCAGAAAGUUGUUAUACAAUGGACCUAGUCCAAUCAGAUAAAUUUAAGUUUAGGUUACCAUUAAAAUUUCAUUACAAAGGCAGUCAGAUCAUGCAAAGAAGUUAGAAAUGUAUAGUAAGCAUUGGGUGGGUGCGUGUGGGAGUGGGAAGAAGAGAACGAAAUAGGAUCACCUUGAGGAACCAAGCCCCAGUUUGGAGAUUCUACGGGAAGUAAUGAUCUUAGACGAGCAGAAGCUGUUGUGCUAUGUAAUGGCACCAUUGAAAUCAAGCAGCUCAAUUCCACAGGUAACCUUGAGGUUUGGUAAAUGCGCUUCGCUGAAGAAGAAAUCUGGGACAGGGAACUCGAUUUUAAUGGAGAAAUUUUGGGUAAUGAAGACUUACAGACAUUCGAUUUGAAAGAAAGAAAUGGAGAGUAAGUGGAUAACCUGGCCAAAAGCCUUGAACCAGUCAUUUUUGCAGAGCUAACAAAAGGGUUUAAGCCUUUACUAGGGUUUAUUGUGCUCACAAGAAUCAGGCACCUGAUGCGUAAUGCGCCACAAUGUCCAUCUGUUUGGUUUCGG